rnacentral:tRNA from 1 species
GGGUCAAGUCCCUCUAUCCCCA